UCUUUAACCCAAUAGGAAAGCUCUAUAUGACCUUUUCAUUUUGGACUGUUAACAUUCAAAUUAUGAUGGAUGUGUUUCCUUGUUUAUGUGAAUUACAGCAUCAUUAGCUGCAACAUCUGCCUGUUCUGUAAAACUAGUAGCUCAACGACAGCAUCCUGAGGGCAAUUAAGUGACAAAUACUGUGCAAGAACAGCAAUAUUACAACCCUGACAAUUUCCACUUCUUAGAAUGUUUACUGCCAAUUAUCACACAGAAAACAAGAAAUAAUAUUCUGUACUUUUAGCAACCAGUUCUCAGCUGUAAACCAUAAACAUCACAGGGUUCUUUAUGCUAAUCAGUCUAAAUCAGAAUGAGUACUACCCAAUACACAGUGAAUAAAUAUUAUCUGAAAGUCUGGUUAUUGUUGUUUAUCAGCACAAUACAAAAAGAUUCAUGUUAGAAAUAUUCCAGUUAAGACUCUAGAAUAUCAGGAUUUAUGUAAAUUUACCUCAAUAAUAUGAAUGUUCAGGUUAAGAUUGUGCAGUGAUAUUUAUUAUGUAAGUUUAGCUGAUUAAAGUUUAUGACUCUGCACUACAAUAUUAUUUAUUAUUUAAAUUUACAUCAUCAUUAUAAUAUUUAGGGUCAGACCCUACAGUAUUGAGAUUAAGAAAUCAAAUAUUCUAUAAAAUGUAAAUACACUGAAUUCAUUUGGAUAUAUUUAAGUGAGACUCUACAAUAUUCUUUGACACAAAUCUAUCUAAAUCAAAAUAUGAAUCAUUUUUACUCCAAACAUUUACAGGACUGAUUUAAAUAUUAAAAUCGCUCCUUUCUAAUCCUCUGCUGUACGUUCAAACCUGAGGCCUUAAAUAGAAACACACAAGUAUCUGAUUGAAGGAACUUCUGCAGAGUCCUGGUUCCAGAACAUGAUGAUAGAAUUAUAGACAAACUUUAACAAAAGCUGCCUGAGAGUUUACAGGUUUUUAUGUUAGAUUUCUUCAGUAAUUUAAUGAGAGUCAUCAGCAAAAAUCAAGUGUUCAUUUGAUGAACUUCAUUUCCUAAAACAUCCAGAAUUGGAGCUCAUAUCUUUGGCAGCUGUAAAGUUUCUGCUCCUUCAAAGUUCACAACACAAUGAAUGAAUUCCUAAAACACUCUCAAUGCUGGAGAGCGUUUGUGAUGCUGAAGCAGUGACCAGUUUUUCUGUUUCUUCUCUGGAGAUGCACAAUGAGGGACGUCUGCAGCGACUGAGAAAGAGUCUCACCACAUCCUGACAUGAGGAAAAAGACUUUAUUGAAGACUACAAUGAGAAAAACUAUCAGACAGCAGACGGCUGCAUUCAAGUCUGUAGCUGCUGAAUUCAUGGAUGAAUCAUCUGGCACUAGAGAGGAAGACCAUCAAACAUCCACGUCAGCUGAUGGAGGUCCAAGAGUCUCACCCAACAAACAACCUACAGAGUGAAGACCUCCAAUCUGAUUGGACGGCCUCCUAUUCAGCCACGUGUGAACAAAUGCCUCUAAGCUGAUUUGUUUUCUAAAAUAAAUCUAGUUUGAGUCCUAA